GUAUUCAUUUGGAUAGCACAUACUAAAAUUAGAAUGAUAAAGAGAGGAUGAGCAUGGCCUCUGUGCAA
ensembl:snRNA U6 U6 spliceosomal RNA